rnacentral:pre_miRNA from 11 species
AGCUGAGGCUCCUGAAAGACCCCCAGAGUGGGGAGACCCUCACUCAAGUCUCGGGAUAAGCCGAUGCCCCAAUAAUUCAAGAGAGACC